CGCUGGCGGCACGCCUAACACAUGCAAGUCGAACGAAGUAGCAAUACUUAGUGGCAGACGGGUGAGUAACAUGUGGGUAUCUACCCUUUGGCCUGGAAUAACACGAGGAAACUUGUGCUAAUACUGGAUAAGUCUUUACGGAGAAAGCUUUAUGCACCAUCGGAUGAGCCCGCACUUGAUUAGUUUGUUGGUGGGGUAAUGGCCUACCAAGACUUUGAUCAAUAGCUGAUUUGAGAGGAUGAUCAGCCACAUUGGGACUGAGACACGGCCCAAACUCCUACGGGAGGCAGCAGUGGGGAAUCUUGCACAAUGGAGGAAACUCUGAUGCAGCGAUGCCGCGUGAGUGAAGAAGGCCCUUGGGUUGUAAAGCUCUUUCGUCGGGGAAGAAAAUGACUGUACCCGAAUAAGAAGGUCCGGCUAACUUCGUGCCAGCAGCCGCGGUAAUACGAAGGGACCUAGCGUAGUUCGGAAUUACUGGGCUUAAAGAGUUCGUAGGUGGUUGAAAAAGUUGGUGGUGAAAUCCCAGAGCUUAACUCUGGAACUGCCAUCAAAACUUUUCAGCUAGAGUUUGAUAGAGGAAAGCAGAAUUUCUAGUGUAGAGGUGAAAUUCGUAGAUAUUAGAAAGAAUACCAAUUGCGAAGGCAGCUUUCUGGAUCAUUACUGACACUGAGGAACGAAAGCAUGGGUAGCGAAGAGGAUUAGAUACCCUCGUAGUCCAUGCCGUAAACGAUGUGUGUUAGACGUUGGAAAUUUAUUUUCAGUGUCGCAGCGAAAGCGAUAAACACACCGCCUGGGGAGUACGAC
rnacentral:rRNA from 1 species